UUCAAGAUGCACUUCAGAAAAUCCUUGGCUGAAGUGAUCUCCACUCCAGGCAUCUAAAGAUCAACAACUAUCUUGCCGAGAGGAUCUCAAGUGUUCUGGGAUUCAGUUUGUCUCUGCAGACUAAAACUGCACUGCCACUGUUUGUUCAGCCGUUGCCAUUGUGUGAUACAAUGGGCCUAGAUUACCAUUUAUCAGACCUGUUCUUCCAGCUAGUCUACAUUCCUCGCCUUCUCCACUUCCAGGAUGGGGAGAUCCUUC
rnacentral:lncRNA from 1 species